AUUGAACGCUGGCGGCAUGCUUUACACAUGCAAGUCGAACGGCAGCACGGGUGCUUGCACCUGGUGGCGAGUGGCGGACGGGUGAGUAAUACAUCGGAACGUGUCCAGAAGAGGGGGAUAACGCAUCGAAAGAUGUGCUAAUACCGCAUAUGCUCUGAGGAGGAAAGUGGGGGAUCGAAAGACCUUACGCUUUUGGAGCGGCCGAUGUCUGAUUAGCUAGUUGGUGGGGUAAGGGCCUACCAAGGCGACGAUCAGUAGUUGGUCUGAGAGGACGACCAGCCACACUGGGACUGAGACACGGCCCAAGACUCCGUACGGGAGGCAGCAGGUAGGGGUAAUUUUGGAACAAGUGGGCGACAA
rnacentral:rRNA from 1 species